rnacentral:snRNA from 1 species
GUGCUCAAUCGACUGAGCCACCCGGGCGCCCCGGGAUUUUUCUGUUAUUGUAUUUAAAUGUCUCUGAAGUGAGAUUGGCCUUCCCCGGUCCAGGAGGACAGUUCGUUGCUCAACAGCGUCCGAGUAGCUGCGGUCUGUACUAGAACCUCCCCAUAAGCUCUCAAGGUCCCCGUGUAGGAGGAUGGAGGCUAGUCAAGCUCCCAAGACGACAGACACAUCCAAAUGAGGUUCUAUAUGUGGCACUUUCCCUUUAUUC